rnacentral:rRNA from 1 species
GAUGAACGCUGGCGGCGUGCCUAAUACAUGCAAGUCGAGCGAAAAGACGAGGAGCUUGCUCCUCUGACGUUAGCGGCGGACGGGUGGGUAACACGUGGAUAACCUACCUAUAAGACUGGGAUAACUUCGGGAAACCGGAGCUAAUACCGGAGAAUAUAUUGAACCGCAGGGUUAAAUGGUGAAAGACGGUUUUGCUGUCACUUAUAGCUGAAUCCGUGCCGCAUUAGCUAGUUGGUAAGGUAACGGCUUACCAAGGCGACGAUGCGUAGCCGACCUGAGAGGGUGAUCAGCCACACUGGAACUGAGACACGGUCCAGACUCCUACGGGAGGCAGCAGUAGGGAAUCUUCCGCAAUGGGCGAAAGCCUGACGGAGCAACGCCGCGUGAGUGAUGAAGGUCUUCGGAUCGUAAAACUCUGUUAUUAGGGAAGAACAAAUGUGUAAGUAAAUAUGCACGUCUUGACGGUACCUAAUCAGAAAGCCACGGCUAACUACGUG